GGUGACUUUCCAGACGCGACCUCUUGAGAGAUCAGCAAUUAUCGCGAGACUCGACGGACGGUUCCGCGAGACCACACGCGAUACCCGGGCAGCCCAACCAGCUUCUCAUUUUCAAGGCCUGGAAGACCGCGGUGUGUGGAGUCCUUUUGCGAGUGCGCCAUGGGCAAGGCCAAACCGGCCGGGGCGCGGAGGCAAGCCCCCAAGGCGCCGGCGAAGACCAGCCCUAACCCGUUCGAGGUGAAAGUCAACAGGCAGAAGUUCCAGAUCCUGGGCAGGAAGACGCGCCACGACGUCGGGCUGCCCGGCGUGUCGCGCGCGCGGGCCAUCAGGAAGCGCACCCAGACUUUACUAAAGGAGUACAAAGAAAGGGAUAAGUCCAAUGUGUUUAAAGACAGGCGCUUUGGGGAGUAUGACCACAGCCUGAGCCCAGAGGAGAAGAUGACAGCGCGGUUUGCGCUGGAACAGCAGCGACAUCAUGAGAAAAAAAGCAUCUACAACCUGAAUGAAGACGAGGAGUUGACACACUAUGGCCAGUCUCUGGCGGACAUCGAGAAGCACAGUGACAUUGUGGACAGCGACAGUGACACUGACGGGCCAGGAGCCUUGUCUGCUGAGCUGACCACUGCCCACUUUGGAGGUGGUGGUGGGCUCCUGCAGCAGAAGACCACCCCACAGGAAGAGGGGGGCAAGCCGAAGUCACGAAAGGAGCUGAUUGAAGAGCUCAUUGCCAAGUCCAAGCAGGAGAAGAGGGAGAGACAGGCUCAGCGGGAAGAUGCCCUCGAGCUCACCGAGAAGCUGGACCAGGACUGGAAAGAAAUCCAAACUCUCCUGUCGCACAAAGCUCCCAAGUCUGGGAACAGAGAGGAGGAGAAGCCCAAGCCUGACGCGUAUGAUAUGGUGGUCCGUGAGCUGGGCUUCGAGAUGAAGGCAAAGCCCUCAAACAGGAUGAAGACAGAAGUGGAGCUGGCAAAGGAGGAGCAGGAGCGGCUAAGGAAGCUGGAGGCUGAGAGGCUUCGAAGGAUGUUGGGAAAGGAUGAGGAUGCAGAAAGGAAGACACCGAAACACUUGUCAGUGGAUGAUCUGAACGACGGCUUCAUACUGGACAGAGAUGACAGGCGUCUCCUUUCAUACAAAGAUGGAAAGAUGAACGUCGAGGAGGGUGUUGAGGAAGAGCGAAGUAAGGGAGCCGGCAGCCAGGAGAGCCAAGAGGAGGAGGAGGACGGAGAGGAGGUGGAUGGUGCAGACAGCCACUCGGACCUGGACUCCAGCGCGGAGAGCGUGGCAGGGGGCACUGAGCCAGCGGAGGGGCAGUGUCCAGCUCCUGGCGGGGGGCCAAAGGGUGACACUGGGAAAGCGUGCAAAGCCUCCAGCAGCGAGCUGCCCUACACCUUCGAAGUGCCUGAGUCCCGUGAGGAGCUGAAGUCGUUGCUGUCAGGCAGAUCAGCGGAGGAGCAGCUCCUGGUGGUGGAGAGAAUUCAGAAAUGCAACCAUCCCAGCCUCGCUGUAGGAAACAAAGCAAAACUGGAAAAGCUGUUUGGCUUCCUUUUGGAAUAUGUUGGAGAUUUGGCCACAAGUGACCCACCAGACCUCAAUGUCAUUGAUAAGUUGGUUGUGCCACUGUAUCACCUCUGCCAGAUGUUUCCCCAGUCUGCAAGCAGCUCUGUGAAGUUUGUUCUCCGAGAUGCCAUGCAUGACAUGGAGGAGAUGAUCGAGACCAAGGGCCGGGCCACGUUUCCUGGCUUGGAUGUGCUCAUUUACCUGAAAAUUGCCGGGCUGCUGUUUCCGACCUCUGACUUCUGGCACCCUGUUGUAACCCCUGCCCUGCUGUGCAUGAGCCAGAUCCUCACCAAGUGCCCAGUGCUGUCCCUCCAGGACGUGGUGAAAGGCCUGUUCGUGUGCUGCCUCUUCCUGGACUUCGUGUCUCUGUCGCGGAGGCUCAUCCCAGAGCUCAUGAACUUCCUCCUUGGCGUUCUGUAUAUCGCAGCCCCGAACAAGCAAGGCUACGGUUCCACCGUGGUGCACCCUUUCAGAGCGCGUGGGAAGAACUCCGAACUGCUCUUGGUCUCAGACAGAGAGGACACAGCCACGUGGCAGAGGGGAAGCCUCUCGCUGCGCUGGGCGAGCGGGCGCAGUGUCCCAACCACGGCUGAGGCCAACCACAUCAGACUGUCCUGCCUGGCUGUGGCGCUGGCCCUGCUGAGGCACUGUGUGACCAUGUACAGCGCUCUCCCGUCCUUUCACACCGUCGUCAGGCCCCUCCGAGCCCUCCUGGCGGAGCACCAGGCAGAGCGCAGUCACCCUCCUGAGCUGCAGACAGACCAGGGAUGGCUGUGGUGCAGGCACAGACCGAUGCUAAUCUGAGCUCCUGGGUUCUGGGACACCUGUGCAAGGGAUGACAGACCCAGCAUUGCAGAGUGGCUUCUAGAAGGCUCCUCAGAAGCCCAGGAGCUGUCUCAGAACAUCCUGAGUGAUUUGGAAAGCCAGAAGCAGCUGUACCGGCCGCUGAUCUGUGAGAAGAGCAAGCCGGUCCCCCUGAAGCUCUUCACCCCCCGCCUGGUCAAAGUCCUCGAGUUUGGGAGGAAACAAGGCGGCAGCAGCAAGGAAGAGCAGGAGAGGAAGCGGCUGAUCCACAAACACAAGCGGGAGUUUAAAGGUGCCGUCCGGGAGAUCCGAAGGGACAACCAGUUCCUAGCCAGGAUGCAGCUCUCAGAGACCAUGGAACG